rnacentral:rRNA from 1 species
GGACUACCGGGGUUUCUAAUCCCGUUCGCUCCCCUAGCUUUCGCACCUGAGCGUCAGGUACUCCCCAGGACACUGCCUACGCCUUCGGUGUUCCUCCGGAUAUCUACGCAUUUCACCACUCCACCCGGAAUUCCGUGUCCCUCUGAAGCCCUCAAGUCACGCAGUUUUCGAAGCACUUGCUCAGUUAAGCCGAGCACUGUCACUCCAAACUUGCGCGACCGCCUGCGUGCGCUUUACGCCCAGUAACUCCGGACAACGCUUGCCUCCUACGUAUUACCGCGGCUGCUGGCAC